rnacentral:rRNA from 1 species
GCAGGCCUAACACAUGCAAGUCGAGCGGUAGAGAGAAGCUUGCUUCUCUUGAGAGCGGCGGACGGGUGAGUAAUGCCUAGGAAUCUGCCUGGUAGUGGGGGAUAACGCUCGGAAACGGACGCUAAUACCGCAUACGUCCUACGGGAGAAAGCAGGGGACCUUCGGGCCUUGCGCUAUCAGAUGAGCCUAGGUCGGAUUAGCUAGUUGGUGAGGUAAUGGCUCACCAAGGCGACGAUCCGUAACUGGUCUGAGAGGAUGAUCAGUCACACUGGAACUGAGACACGGUCCAGACUCCUACGGGAGGCAGCAGUGGGGAAUAUUGGACAAUGGGCGAAAGCCUGAUCCAGCCAUGCCGCGUGUGUGAAGAAGGUCUUCGGAUUGUAAAGCACUUUAAGUUGGGAGGAAGGGCAGUAACCUAAUACGUUGCUGUCUUGACGUUACCGACAGAAUAAGCACCGGCUAACUC